rnacentral:rRNA from 1 species
AUUGAACGCUGGCGGCAGGCCUAACACAUGCAAGUCGGACGGUAGCACAGAGAGCUUGCUCUUGGGUGACGAGUGGCGGACGGGUGAGUAAUGUCUGGGGAUCUGCCCGAUAGAGGGGGAUAACCACUGGAAACGGUGGCUAAUACCGCAUAACGUCGCAAGACCAAAGAGGGGGACCUUCGGGCCUCUCACUAUCGGAUGAACCCAGAUGGGAUUAGCUAGUAGGCGGGGUAAUGGCCCACCUAGGCGACGAUCCCUAGCGGGUCUGAGAGGAUGACCAGCAACACUGGAACUGAGACACGGUCCAGACUCCUACGGGAGGCAGCAGUGGGGAAUAUUGCACAAUGGGCGCAAGCCUGAUGCAGCCAUGCCGCGUGUAUGAAGAAGGCCUUCGGGUUGUAAAGUACUUUCAGCGGGGAGGAAGGCGGCAAGGUUAAUAACCUUGCCGAUUGACGUUACCCGCGGAAGAAGCACCGGCUAACUCCGUGCCAGCAGCCGCGGUAA